rnacentral:tRNA from 1 species
GAGGGUAUAGCUCAGUGGCAGAGCACAUGCUUAGCAUGCACGAGGUCCUGGGUUCCAUCCCCGGUACCUCCU